rnacentral:rRNA from 1 species
ACGGCUCAGUAACACGUAGUCAACAUGCCCAGGGGACGUGGAUAACCUCGGGAAACUGAGGAUAAACCGCGAUAGGUCAUCACUUCUGGAAUGGGUAAUGACUUAAAUCUAUAUGGCCCCUGGAUUGGACUGCGGCCGAUCAGGCUGUUGGUGAGGUAAUGGCCCACCAAACCUGUAACCGGUACGGGCUCUGAGAGGAGGAGCCCGGAGAUGGGCACUGAGACAAGGGCCCAGGCCCUAUGGGGCGCAGCAGGCGCGAAACCUCUGCAAUAGGCGAAAGCUUGACAGGGUUACUCUGAGUGAUUUCCGUUAAGGAGAUCUUUUGGCACCUCUAAAAAUGGUGCAGAAUAAGGGGUGGGCAAGUCUGGUGUCAGCCGCCGCGGUAAUACCAGCACCCCGAGUGGUCAGGACGUUUAUUGGGCCUAAAGCAUCCGUAGCCGGCUCUGCAAGUCUUCGGUUAAAUCCACCUGCUCAACAGAUGGGCCGCUGGAGAUACUACAGAGCUAGGGAGUGGGAGAGGCAGACGGUAUUCAGUGGGUAGGGGUAAAAUCCGUUGAUCCAUUGAAGACCACCAGUGGCGAAGGCGGCUUGCCAGAACGCGCUCGACGGUGAGGGAUGAAAGCUGGGGGAGCAAACCGGAUUAGAUACCCGGGUAGUCCCAGCUGUAAACGAUGCAGACUCGGUGAUGAACAGGCUUCGUGCCUGUUCAGUGCCGCAGGGAAGCCGUUAAGUCUGCCGCCUGGGGAGUACGGUCGCAAGACUGAAACUUAAAGGAAUUGGCGGGGGAG